rnacentral:miRNA from 1 species
AACCACAAAUCUCUUGGACUCCUG